GAUGAACGCUGGCGGCGUGCCUAAUACAUGCAAGUCGAGCGAACAGACGAGGAGCUUGCUCCUCUGACGUUAGCGGCGGACGGGUGAGUAACACGUGGAUAACCUACCUAUAAGACUGGGAUAACUUCGGGAAACCGGAGCUAAUACCGGAUAAUAUAUUGAACCGCAUGGUUCAAUAGUGAAAGACGGUUUUGCUGUCACUUAUAGAUGGAUCCGCGCCGCAUUAGCUAGUUGGUAAGGUAACGGCUUACCAAGGCAACGAUGCGUAGCCGACCUGAGAGGCUGAUCAGCCACACUGGAUCUGAGACACGGUCCAGACUCCUACGGGAGGCAGCAUUAGGGAAUCUUCCGCAAUGGGCGAAAGCCUGACGGAGCAACGCCGCGUGAGUGAUGAAGGUCUUCGGAUCGUAAAACUCUGUUAUUAGUGAAGAACAAAUGUGUAAGUAACUAUGCACGUCUUGACGGUACCUAAUCAGAAAGCCACGGCUAACUACGUG
rnacentral:rRNA from 1 species